rnacentral:rRNA from 1 species
AACGAACGCUGGCGGCAUGCCUAACACAUGCAAGUCGAACGAGACCUUCGGGUCUAGUGGCGCACGGGUGCGUAACGCGUGGGAACCUGCCCUUAGGUUCGGAAUAACUCCCCGCAAGGGGUGCUAAUACCGGAUAAUGUCUUCGGACCAAAGAUUUAUCGCCUUUGGAUGGGCCCGCGUUGGAUUAGCUAGUUGGUAGGGUAAAAGCCUACCAAGGCGACGAUCCAUAGCUGGUCUGAGAGGAUGAUCAGCCACACUGGGACUGAGACACGGCCCAGACUCCUACGGGAGGCAGCAGUGGGGAAUAUUGGACGAUGGGCGAAAGCCUGAUCCAGCAAUGCCGCGUGAGUGAUGAAGGCCUUAGGGUUGUAAAGCUCUUUUACCCGGGAUGAUAAUGACAGUACCGGGAGAAUAAGCUCCGGCUAACUCCGUG